AACGUAGGAGACGAGCGUUAUCCGGAAUUACUGGGCGUAAAGCGCGAGUAGGCGGCUUUUUAAGUGGUCUGUGAAAGCGUCCGGCUCAACUGGACGAGGACGGAUCAGACUGGGGAGCUGGAGGGUCAGAGAGGCAGGCGGAAUUCCGGGUGUAGUGGUGAAAUGCGUAGAGAUCCGGAGGAACACCAGUGGCGAAGGCGGCCUGCUGGCUGACAACUGACGCUGAGGCGCGAAAGCAUGGGGAGCGAACGGG
rnacentral:rRNA from 1 species